AGAGUUUGAUCCUGGCUCAGGAUCAACGCUGGCGGCGUGCCUAAUGCAUGCAAGUCGCACGGGACACCUUCGGGUGUUCAGUGGCGAACGGCUGAGGAACACGUGCGUAUCUGCCUUUCCGUGGGGAAUAACGGGUGGAAACACCCGCUAAUACCGCGUACGCUUGCUUCGGCAAGGAAAGCCUUCGGGCGCGGGGAGAGGAGCGCGCGGCCCAUCAGGUAGAUGGCGGGGUAAUGGCCCACCAUGCCGGUGACGGGUCGCUGGUCUGUGAGGAUGACCAGCCAGACUGGGACUGCGACACGGCCCAGACACCUACGGGUGGCAGCAGCAAGGAAUCUUCGGCAAUGGGCGCAAGCCUGACCGAGCAACGCCGCGUGGAGGACGACGGCCUUCGGGUUGUAAACUCCUUUUCUGUGGGAUGAUACGGACAGUACCGCAGGAAUAAGCCCCGGCUAACUCUGUGCCAGCAGCCGCGGUAAUACAGAGGGGGCAAGCGUUGUCCGGACUUACUGGGCGUACAGCGCGCGCAGGUGGUCGGCUAAGUUCGUGGUGACAGCGUGCGGCUCAACCGCACACGGUCCAUGGAGACUGGUCGACUAGAGGCAUCGAGAGGGAUACGGAAUACCCGGUGGAGCGGUGAAAUGCGUAGAGAUCGGGUGGAACACCAGCGGCGAAGGCGGUAUCCUGGCGAUGACCUGACACUGAGGCGCGACAGCGUGGGGAGCAAACGGGAUUAGAUACCCUAGUAGUCC
rnacentral:rRNA from 1 species